rnacentral:rRNA from 1 species
UACGAAGGGGGCUAGCGUUGCUCGGAAUCACUGGGCGUAAAGGGUGCGUAGGCGGGUCUUUAAGUCAGGGGUGAAAUCCUGGAGCUCAACUCCAGAACUGCCUUUGAUACUGAGGAUCUUGAGUACGGGAGAGGUGAGUGGAACUGCGAGUGUAAAGGUGAAAUUCGUAGAUAUUCGCAAGAACACCAGUGGCGAAGGCGGCUCACUGGCCCGUAACUGACGCUGAGGCACGAAAGCGUGGGGAGCAAACAGG